rnacentral:rRNA from 1 species
UGGGGAAUAUUGGACAAUGGGCGAAAGCCUGAUCCAGCCAUGCCGCGUGUGUGAAGAAGGUCUUCGGAUUGUAAAGCACUUUAAGUUGGGAGGAAGGGCAGUAAGCGAAUACCUUGCUGUUUUGACGUUACCGACAGAAUAAGCACCGGCUAACUCUGUGCCAGCAGCCGCGGUAAUACAGAGGGUGCAAGCGUUAAUCGGAAUUACUGGGCGUAAAGCGCGCGUAGGUGGUUCGUUAAGUUGAAUGUGAAAGCCCCGGGCUCAACCUGGGAACUGCAUCCAAAACUGGCGGGCUAGAGUAGGGCAGAGGGUGGUGGAAUUUCCUGUGGAGCGGUGAAAUGCGUAGAUAUAGGAAGGAACACCAGUGGCGAAGGCGACCACCUGGGCUCAUACUGACACUGAGGUGCGAAAGCGUGGGGAGCAAACAGG